rnacentral:rRNA from 1 species
CCUACGGGUGGCAGCAGUGAGGAAUAUUGGUCAAUGGACGGAAGUCUGAACCAGCCAUGCCGCGUGCAGGAAGACGGCUCUACGAGUUGUAAACUGCUUUUGUACAAGGGUAAACCUGAAUACGUGUAUUCAGCUGAAAGUACUGUACGAAUAAGGAUCGGCUAACUCCGUGCCAGCAGCCGCGGUAAUACGGAGGAUGCAAGCGUUAUCCGGAUUUAUUGGGGUUACAGGGUGCGUAGGCGGAUUGAUAAGUUUGGGGUGAAAUGGCCGAGCUUAACUCGGGAACUGCCGCUAAUACUGUUGAUCUAGAGUGUAGGUGAGGUAGGCGGAAUGUAUGGUGUAGCGGUGAAAUGCUUAGAGAUCAUACAGAACACCGAUUGCGAAGGCAGCUUACCAAUCUAUAACUGACGUUGAGGCACGAAAGCGUGGGGAGCAAACAGGAUUAGAUACCCUUGUAGUC